AGAAUCAACGCUGGCGGCGCGCCUAACACAUGCAAGUCGAACGCGAGAGUCCCGCAAGGGACAAUUGAGUGGCAAACGGGUGAGUAACACGUGGGUGACUUGCCUUCGAGUGGGGGAUAACGUCCCGAAAGGGACGCUAAUACCGCAUGACAUCCUGCCUUUGGACAGGCGGAGAUCAAAGCCGGGAUCGCAAGACCUGGCGCUUGGAGAGGGGCCCGCGUCUGAUUAGCUAGUUGGUGAGGUAACGGCUCACCAAGGCGACGAUC
rnacentral:rRNA from 1 species